AUUGUGUAACAUGUUAUUUUACUACUAGUGUUACAUUUUAUUUAAGUGUGACAAAUGAGGUAUUUAUGUGAGCUAUGGUGGAAUGCACUAAGGUGCAUGAUAGAUAGUAAUGCACCCUAGUAAUUUAGUGUGUGCUAGUGCAUGGUAGCAUGGUGCACAUGUGUAGAUUUUCUACACAUUUUAGGUUUCCUUAUUUUAGAUUUAAUUGAGUAAUUUAUUUAUAAAAAAAAAAAGAAGAAAAGAAAAGGGAAAUGAGGAGUGGGCGUGUGACCUAGUGGGAAUGGAAUAUUUCCUUAAAAUUGUAAAAAAAAUCAAGACUUGAAGACCAUGAUCAUUUGGGGAUAGGCAUGAUCAUAUCUUAUCCCUUUGUAUCUUUUUGAAAUAAAGAAAAAUCAAGGAAAAUAAAAGAGAAAUGGAAACUUACCUUAAUAUUGUUUGGGGAGACUUUAUGAGAGGAUUUGUGAUAAAGGGGCUAAGAAAGGAGAGAAGAGCCAUUGCUCUUGUGUGUGUGUGUGGCUGCCGUGACCUAGAGAGAGAGAGAGAGAGAGAGGAAGAAAGAAAGAAAGGAAGAAGGAAGAAGAAAGUGAAGAGGAACCCCCCUAGAGCUUGAACAAGGGUGUGGAGUUUGUGGUAUUGAUCUUUUGUGUUCUUGAUUCUACAAUCAAGAGAGGUAGCAAAUAGGAUUUCUCUAUGGCACGCGUGGUGACGUGAGGAGUUCUUCAUCAUGGGGUGUAUGGCGUGGGGCAAUCCUAUGGACGAUAAAACGAUCAACGUAGAACGCCAUUUAAAUUAUGUUUUGUUUUAAGGGACUUUUUCCUAAAUUAUCAG